CCUACGGGUGGCAGCAGUGGGGAAUAUUGCACAAUGGGGGAAACCCUGAUGCAGCGACGCCGCGUGAAGGAAGAAGUAUUUCGGUAUGUAAACUUCUAUCAGCAGGGAAGAAAAUGACGGUACCUGACUAAGAAGCCCCGGCUAACUACGUGCCAGCCGCCGCGGUAAUACGUAGGGGGCAAGCGUUAUCCGGAUUUACUGGGUUUAAAGGGUGCGCAGGCGGGAGAUCAAGUCAGCGGUAAAAUGUCGGGGCUCAACCCCGGCCGGCCGUUGAAACUGGUUUUCUAGAGUUGGAGAGAAGUAUGCGGAAUUCGUGGUGUAGCGGUGAAAUGCAUAGAUAUCACGAAGAACUCCGAUUGCGAAGGCAGCAUACCGGCUCCAUACUGACGCUGAGGCACGAAAGCGUGGGGAUCGAACAGGAUUAGAUACCCUAGUAGUC
rnacentral:rRNA from 1 species